CUGAAAAUUACUGAACGCCGAGUCACCUACAUAGCGAUACGUGAGAGACCGGACGUGUGUAUGCCAGAGGAGUGAAAAUCGUUCCAGCGAGAUAUUCCACGCCACCAUGUAGAGGAUUGCUGUUCAAGAAGGCAGAAGUAGGAGGAAGCUCUGCACAAGAAG